UUAGGCUUUGAAAUGCCGGCCCAUCAAAUGCAACCGGAAAUCGGCCAAUCAAAAACGAGACUUUUUUAACUCCCACUGCAGAACUUUACAAUGUACAAAAAUUCAGACCCGAUCAGCCAAAGUGAAUUGACAGAGAAGGAACAUUUGUCGAUGGUUAUUUUGGAAAAAACAGUGACAGACUACAAAUGGAUAGAUAAUAAAGGACACGAGACAGGACAUGUACAUACCACAAACUGACCAAUAAAAAUCUAACAAAUAAAUAGAUCAUUAAAAAUUCUUGCCCGAUAUAUAGAAACAGGGGAAGUUUAACGUUCGGGUACCACGCAACCAAUAUAUUAACCUGAAAGACCACAACAGAAAACCUCCGAGUACCUGCAGCUAUAUGUAAUUACAAUUUCUGUACGCUUAUUUGAAUGUACGUGAAUGCACGCGCCAUUAUUGUGUGCAGGAGAGGAGCUUUUGCGGUCAACCCCUUUCUAGGGGUAAGGAAAUUGUUUGAAAAUAUAUCCACAUCAAGGAACGUAAUCAAAUUAUGGGAAUUUUUAAUUGCACGAUGGGCAGGCCGGAACAGAACUUCUAUCGAAAAAGUAGAACUGAAAACACUACUGAUGUCUCAAGUUGUGAAUAUUUAAUAAAGCAAUAGCCAUUAUCUUGUGAUUUUAGAA